rnacentral:rRNA from 1 species
CAGUCGCCGCGGUAAUACGUAGGUGGCAAGCGUUGUCCGGAAUUAUUGGGCGUAAAGGGCUCGCAGGCGGUCUCUUAAGUCUGAUGUGAAAGCCCCCGGCUCAACCGGGGAGGGUCAUUGGAAACUGGGAAACUUGAGUGCAGAAGAGGAGAGUGGAAUACCACGUGUAGCGGUGAAAUGCGUAGAGAUGUGGAGGAACACCAGUGGCGAAGGCGACUCCCUGGUCUGUAACUGACGCUGAGGAGCGAAAGCGUGGGGAGCGAACAGGAUUAGAUACCCGUGUAGUCCCUGUCUCUUAUAC